rnacentral:rRNA from 1 species
AGAGUUUGAUCCUGGCUCAGAAUCAACGCUGGCGGCGCGCCUAACACAUGCAAGUCGAACGAGAAAGUGGAGCAAUCCAUGAGUAAAGUGGCGUACGGGUGAGUAACACGUGGAUAACCUGCCCUUUAGUGGGGAAUACCGCUGGGAAACCGGUGACAAUACCGCAUAAGCUCGAGAGAGGAAAGCAGCAAUGCGCUGAAGGAGGGGUCCGCGGCCGAUUAGCUAGUUGGUAGGGUAAAAGCCUACCAAGGCUGUGAUCGGUAGCCGGCCUGAGAGGGCACACGGCCACACUGGCACUGAAACACGGGCCAGACUCCUACGGGAGGCAGCAGUGGGGAAUCUUGCACAAUGGGGGAAACCCUGAUGCAGCGACGCCGCGUGAGCGAUGAAGCCCUUCGGGGUGUAAAGCUCUUUCGGCAGGGACGAUUAUGACGGUACCUGCAGAAGCAGCUGCGGCUAACUACGUGCCAGCAGCCGCGGUAAUACGUAGGCAGCAAGCGUUGUUCGGGGUUACUGGGCGUAAAGGGUGCGUAGGCGGCUUCUUAAGUUUGGUGUGAAAUCUCCCGGCUCAACUGGGAGGGUGCGCCGAAUACUGAGAGGCUAGAGUGUGGGAGAGGAAAGUGGAAUUCCAGGUGUAGCGGUGAAAUGCGUAGAUAUCUGGAGGAACACCGGUGGUGUAAACGGCUUUCUGGACCAUUACUGACGCUGAUGCACGAAAGCGUGGGUAGCAAACAGGAUUAGAUACCCUGGUAGUCCACGCCCUAAACGAUGCAUAUUUGGUGUGGGCCAUUCAUUUGGUCCGUGCCGGAGCUAACGCGUUAAAUAUGCCGCCUGGGGAGUACAGUCGCAAGGCUGAAACUCAAAGGAAUUGACGGGGGCCCGCACAAGCGGUGGAGCAUGUGGUUUAAUUCGACGCAACGCGAAGAACCUUACCUGGGCUCGAAAUGUUACGGACAGUCUGUGAAAGCAGGCCUUCCCGCAAGGGACCGUAGUAUAGGUG